rnacentral:rRNA from 1 species
UGAGAGUCUGACGGAGCACGCCGCGUGAGUGAUGAAGGUUUUCGGAUCGUAAAGCUCUGUUGUUAGGGAAGAACAAGUACCGUUCGAAUAGGGCGGUACCUUGACGGUACCUAACCAGAAAGCCACGGCUAACUACGUGCCAGCAGCCGCGGUAAUACGUAGGUGGCAAGCGUUGUCCGGAAUUAUUGGGCGUAAAGGGCUCGCAGGCGGUUUCUUAAGUCUGAUGUGAAAGCCCCCGGCUCAACCGGGGAGGGUCAUUGGAAACUGGGGAACUUGAGUGCAGAAGAGGAGAGUGGAAUUCCACGUGUAGCGGUGAAAUGCGUAGAGAUGUGGAGGAACACCAGUGGCGAAGGCGACUCUCUGGUCUGUAACUGACGCUGAGGAGCGAAAGCGUGGGGAGCGAACAGGAUUAGAUACC